GAACAGUUUGACAACUUACCUGGAGUCUGCUGGGAUAUGGGGCUGUAGUAGGGUAUAGGAGCAGUGGUGCAAUGUGUGUGAAAGGUUCAGUGUGUGGGUGGGCAGUGUGUAAAUGUGUAUGGUGUGUGUGUGGGGCAGUGUGUGUAUGGGGCUAGAGUUCACUCCUACUACUGGGACCACCAGGAAGUGGUGAGAGUGAACUCUAGCCCGUAGCUCCAGGGCUAGAGUUCACCCUCGUGAGAGCCGGAGCGUUGCCCCAGGUCCUCUCUUCCUCCCCUGCCGACUGGCUGCACGGUGCCUGUGGAACGGGGAGGG